rnacentral:tRNA from 1 species
GCCUGGCUGGCUCAAUCGGUAGAGCAUGUGACUCUCGAUCUCAGGGUCAUGAGUUCAAGCCCCAUGUUGGGUG